AUACUUACCUGACAGGGGAAAUACCAUGAUCAUGAAGGUGGUAUUCUCAGGGUAAUAGAGGCUUAUCAAUUACACUCUGUUUGUGCAGAAGUGCUAGUUAAUACAAUCAGACAAAAUUAGGGGAGGGUGUGCAUAAGGUAGAUUUUUCUGGUU
rnacentral:snRNA from 1 species